rnacentral:rRNA from 1 species
GACGAACGCUGGCGGCGUGCUUAACACAUGCAAGUCGAACGGUGAUCUUGGGAGCUUGCUCCUGGGUGAUCAGUGGCGAACGGGUGAGUAACACGUGAGUAACCUGCCCCUGACUCUGGAAUAACUUCGGGAAACCGAAGCUAAUACCGGAUAUGACACAGAGCCGCAUGGUUUCUGUGUGGAAAGUUUUUUCGGUUGGGGAUGGACUCGCGGCCUAUCAGCUUGUUGGUGAGGUAAUGGCUCACCAAGGCGACGACGGGUAGCCGGCCUGAGAGGGCGACCGGCCACACUGGGACUGAGACACGGCCCAGACUCCUACGGGAGGCAGCAGUGGGGAAUAUUGCACAAUGGGCGAAAGCCUGAUGCAGCGACGCCGCGUGAGGGAUGAAGGCCUUCGGGUUGUAAACCUCUUUCAGUAGGGAAGAAGCGCAAGUGACGGUACCUACAGAAGAAGCACCGGCUAACUACGUGCCAGCAGCCGCGGUAAUAC